UACGGAGGGUGCGAGCGUUGUCCGGAAUCACUGGGCGUAAAGGGCGCGUAGGUGGCUCGGGAAGUCAACGGUGAAAGUUCAGGGCUCAACCCUGAAUCGGCCGUCGAUACUCCCGGGCUUGAGCACUGUAGAGGCAGAUGGAAUUCCGGGUGUAGCGGUGGAAUGCGUAGAGAUCCGGAAGAACACCGGUGGCGAAGGCGGUCUGCUGGGCAGUUGCUGACACUCAUGCGCGACAGCGUGGGGAGCAAACAGG
rnacentral:rRNA from 1 species